rnacentral:rRNA from 1 species
UACGUAGGGUCCGAGCGUUAAUCGGAAUUACUGGGCGUAAAGCGUGCGCAGGCGGUUUUGUAAGCCAGAUGUGAAAUCCCCGGGCUCAACCUGGGAACUGCAUUUGGGACUGCAAGGCUUGAGUACGGCAGAGGGGGGUAGAAUUCCUGGUGUAGCAGUGAAAUGCGUAGAGAUGCGGAGGAACACCGAUGGCGAAGGCAGCCCCCUGGGCUAAUACUGACGCUGAGGCACGAAAGCGUGGGGAGCAAACAGG